AAAAGAUCUAGCUAUUAUCUGAUAGCGAGAUAGUGAGCGCGAACAAAGUCGAGUGUCGCGAUGUUGCUGCAAACUCGUUAAUAUUGCACAACCAUUAUCGUGCCGGACGAUUAAAAAUAUUUCAAUGUUAGACUCCGAUGUUGACGAUUAACGCACGCAGUACUAGUUUGUUACACAAGCUCAGAAGCUUCGUGAUUCGUCCCCGCCAAGUUGUAUCAUUUUUUUACACACGAACAGAAACACAACGGAAGCAACGAUAAGUCGAAGACAAACGAGAGCAAAUAGAACUUCGCGCGAACGAGUGAAUAUUCUAAAGUGGAAUGAAACAUACAGAAAGAAAUUAUCACCUCUCGAAAUUGAACAAAAGGAUAAAAUUAAAUCCACUCACGACAAAUCACGAUGAACAUUGAAUUAUAUUCGAAAAACUGCACCGUGCCUCUUCUCUGUGUCUUUCGAGACGCAGCUGACAAAAUUAAUUCUACAUACUUCGGCACGAAACAAAGCAACGUUCCGGGGGGGGAGUACUCGGACUCGCCCUUUAUCGAUUUCGAGGGAAACUUGAAGAUAAAGUAACUGCCUCGGCAAAUCCCUAUUUUUCGGCCUGGGCGCGACCUGGGUGUCUCCACUCGGCAACGGUGGCUUAAUGCCGUCUAGACCGGAUGGGUCGCGAGUAUAUUCGUCAAGUGGAAUCGCCUAUUACGUCCCUCGAAAUCGGCAUGCGUUUAAGAGAAAACUGGCUGCAGGACAAGCCAGUCCCCGGGAAGAAAGAGAAAAGGAGCCGAUAGGAAGUAACGAAAGA